AAUCUGGGAGGACCAUCUCCUAAGGCUAAAUACUCUCUAGUGACCGAUAGUGAACCAGUACCGUGAGGGAAAGGUGAAAAGCACCCCGGAAGGGGAGUGAAAUAGAACCUGAAACCGUGUGCUUACAAGUAGUCAGAGCCCGUUAAUGGGUGAUGGCGUGCCUUUUGUAGAAUGAACCGGCGAGUUACGAUUUGAUGCAAGGUUAAGCAGUAAAUGUGGAGCCGUAGCGAAAGCGAGUCUGAAUAGGGCGUUUAGUAUUUGGUCGUAGACCCGAAACCAGGUGAUCUACCCUUGGUCAGGUUGAAGUUCAGGUAACACUGAAUGGAGGACCGAACCGACUUACGUUGAAAAGUGAGCGGAUGAACUGAGGGUAGCGGAGAAAUUCCAAUCGAACCUGGAGAUAGCUGGUUCUCUCCGAAAUAGCUUUAGGGCUAGCCUCAAGUGAUGAUUAUUGGAGGUAGAGCACUGUUUGGACGAGGGGCCCCUCUCGGGUUACCGAAUUCAGACAAACUCCGAAUGCCAAUUAAUUUAACUUGGGAGUCAGAACAUGGGUGAUAAGGUCCGUGUUCGAAAGGGAAACAGCCCAGACCACCAGCUAAGGUCCCAAAAUAUAUGUUAAGUGGAAAAGGAUGUGGCGUUGCCCAGACAACUAGGAUGUUGGCUUAGAAGCAGCCAUCAUUUAAAGAGUGCGUAAUAGCUCACUAGUCGAGUGACACUGCGCCGAAAAUGUACCGGGGCUAAACAUAUUACCGAAGCUGUGGAUUGUCCUUUGGACAAUGGUAGGAGAGCGUUCUAAGGGCGUUGAAGCAUGAUCGUAAGGACAUGUGGAGCGCUUAGAAGUGAGAAUGCCGGUGUGAGUAGCGAAAGACGGGUGAGAAUCCCGUCCACCGAUUGACUAAGGUUUCCAGAGGAAGGCUCGUCCGCUCUGGGUUAGUCGGGUCCUAAGCUGAGGCCGACAGGCGUAGGCGAUGGAUAACAGGUUGAUAUUCCUGUACCACCUAUAAUCGUUUUAAUCGAUGGGGGGACGCAGUAGGAUAGGCGAAGCGUGCGAUUGGAUUGCACGUCUAAGCAGUAAGGCUGAGUAUUAGGCAAAUCCGGUACUCGUUAAGGCUGAGCUGUGAUGGGGAGAAGACAUUGUGUCUUCGAGUCGUUGAUUUCACACUGCCGAGAAAAGCCUCUAGAUAGAAAAUAGGUGCCCGUACCGCAAACCGACACAGGUAGUCAAGAUGAGAAUUCUAAGGUGAGCGAGCGAACUCUCGUUAAGGAACUCGGCAAAAUGACCCCGUAACUUCGGGAGAAGGGGUGCUCUUUAGGGUUAACGCCCAGAAGAGCCGCAGUGAAUAGGCCCAAGCGACUGUUUAUCAAAAACACAGGUCUCUGCUAAACCGUAAGGUGAUGUAUAGGGGCUGACGCCUGCCCGGUGCUGGAAGGUUAAGAGGAGUGGUUAGCUUCUGCGAAGCUACGAAUCGAAGCCCCAGUAAACGGCGGCCGUAACUAUAACGGUCCUAAGGUAGCGAAAUUCCUUGUCGGGUAAGUUCCGACCCGCACGAAAGGCGUAACGAUUUGGGCACUGUCUCAACGAGAGACUCGGUGAAAUCAUAGUACCUGUGAAGAUGCAGGUUACCCGCGACAGGACGGAAAGACCCCGUGGAGCUUUACUGUAGCCUGAUAUUGAAAUUCGGCACAGCUUGUACAGGAUAGGUAGGAGCCUUUGAAACGUGAGCGCUAGCUUACGUGGAGGCGCUGGUGGGAUACUACCCUAGCUGUGUUGGCUUUCUAACCCGCACCACUUAUCGUGGUGGGAGACAGUGUCAGGCGGGCAGUUUGACUGGGGCGGUCGCCUCCUAAAAGGUAACGGAGGCGCUCAAAGGUUCCCUCAGAAUGGUUGGAAAUCAUUCAUAGAGUGUAAAGGCAUAAGGGAGCUUGACUGCGAGACCUACAAGUCGAGCAGGGUCGAAAGACGGACUUAGUGAUCCGGUGGUUCCGCAUGGAAGGGCCAUCGCUCAACGGAUAAAAGCUACCCCGGGGAUAACAGGCUUAUCUCCCCCAAGAGUUCACAUCGACGGGGAGGUUUGGCACCUCGAUGUCGGCUCAUCGCAUCCUGGGGCUGUAGUCGGUCCCAAGGGUUGGGCUGUUCGCCCAUUAAAGCGGUACGCGAGCUGGGUUCAGAACGUCGUGAGACAGUUCGGUCCCUAUCCGUCGUGGGCGUAGGAAAUUUGAGAGGAGCUGUCCUUAGUACGAGAGGACCGGGAUGGACAUACCUCUGGUGUACCAGUUGUCGUGCCAACGGCAUAGCUGGGUAGCUAUGUGUGGACGGGAUAAGUGCUGAAAGCAUCUAAGCAUGAAGCCCCCCUCAAGAUGAGAUUUCCCAACUUCGGUUAUAAGAUCCCUCAAAGAUGAUGAGGUUAAUAGGUUCGAGGUGGAAGCAUGGUGACAUGUGGAGCUGACGAAUACUAAUCGAUCGAAGACUUAAUCAA
rnacentral:rRNA from 2 species